rnacentral:rRNA from 1 species
UACGUAGGGGGCAAGCGUUUGUCCGGAUUUAUUGGGCGUAAAGAGCGUGUAAGCGGUUUGGUAGGUCCGCUGUGAAAACUCGAGGCUCAACCUCGAGACGCCGAUGGAAACCAUUUGGCUAGAGUCCGGAAGAGGAGAGUGGAAUUCCUGGUGUAGCGGUGAAAUGCGCAGAUAUCAGGAAGAACACCCGUGGCUAAGGCGGCUCUCUAGUACGGUACUGACGCUGAGACGCGAAAAGCGUGGGGGAGCGAAUAGG